UCAUGAGGGAAUUCCAUACAACAAUAUCAUGUCUGUAGUGCUGUUUUGCUCUGGGCUUAUUGUUGGAGGGAUACUUGCUCUGCUGCCUGUGUUUGGCUUAAGAAAGAAAACAGCACAGAGGUCUGACAGCUUCACUCAGUCAGAAAACAUCAACGAAGCCACACGAACAAUUAAUGAAAAUGAGAC